UACGGAGGGCGCGAGCGUUACCCGGAUUUACUGGGCGUAAAGGGCGUGUAGGCGGCCUGGGGCGUCCCAUGUGAAAGGCCACGGCUCAACCGUGGAGGAGCGUGGGAUACGCUCAGGCUAGACGGUGGGAGAGGGUGGUGGAAUUCCCGGAGUAGCGGUGAAAUGCGCAGAUACCGGGAGGAACGCCGAUGGCGAAGGCAGCCACCUGGCCCACAUGUGACGCUGAGGCGCGAAAGCCAGGGGCGCGAACCGG
rnacentral:rRNA from 1 species